rnacentral:ncRNA from 1 species
AUAAAAUAAUUAUGUUUUUAAAAAUUUAUUAUAAAUUUAUUUUACAUAUAAAUUUUAGUAUUUAAUAUUAAUUAUUUAAAUAAUAAUUAAUUUAAUUUAUUUGUAGUAAUUAAUAUUAAAAAUUUAAGAAAUUAAGAUUUAGUAAUAUAAGAAUUAAUAACUAAUUUUGUGCCAGCAGUUGCGGUUAAACAAAAGUUAAAUUAAAUUAUUUCAGUUUAUAAUAAAUAAAUAGUUAUCAUUAAAAUAAAUAUUAAAUUAUUAAGUGAAAUUUUAAUUUAAUUAAAUUUUAUUUAAUUUUUAUGAUUUAAUAAAUUUUAAUAUAAACUAGGAUUAGAUACCCUAUUAUUAAAAAUUUAAUUUAUAAUACUAAAAUAGUAAAUAAUAAUUUAUUGAAACUUAAAUAAUAUGGCGGUAUUUUAGUUCAUUUAGAGGAAUCUGUCUAAUAAUUGAUAAUCCACGAAUAAAUUUACUUAAUUUAUAAUUUUGUAUAUCAUUGUUAAAAAAAUAUUUUUUAGUAAAAAUAAUAUUUAAAAUUUAAAAUUAUAAUUUAAAUCAGAUCAAGAUGCAGAGUAUAAUUAAGAAUAUGAUGGAUUACAUUAAAAAUAUUUAAAUGAAUAAUUUUAUUGUAAAAUAAAUUUGAAGGUGGAUUUAAAUGUAAUUUUAAUUAAUUUAUUAAAAUGAUUAUAAAUUAAAAUAUGUACAUAUUGCCCGUCACUUUCAUUUAAAAAUUGAAAUAAGUCGUAACAAAGUAGAAGUACUGGAAAGUGUUUCUAGAAAGA